UGUGGCAGAUUAGUGCAAUGAAUUUAAGUUUCAUAUAUAAAGUCAUAGCUUUUAUUAGAAA
rnacentral:tRNA from 1 species